rnacentral:sRNA from 1 species
GGAUUUACAGAAAAGUUGCAAAGAUAGUACAGAUGGUUCUCGUAUCUCCUGCACCCAGUUUCCCAUUUGGUUAGCAUCUUACAUUGCCAUAGGAUGUUUGUCACAACUAACAAACCUCAUCGUUGGUUUUUGUCUUUCAGAUUUUCAGAAGUUAAAUCCAAAAUUGCAAGUAAAUACCAUGAUUUAGAAUGCCAGCUGAUUCAGGAGUUUACCAGUGCUCAAAGAAGAGGUGAAAUCUCCAGAAUGAGAGAAGUAGCAGCAGUUUUACUUCAUUUUAAGGGUUAUUCCCAUUGUGUUGAUGUUUAUAUAAAGCAGUGCCAGGAGGGUGCUUAUUUGAGAAAUGAUAUAUUUGAAGAUGCUGGAAUACUCUGUCAAAGAGUGAACAAACAAGUUGGAGAUAUCUUCAGUAAUCCAGAAACAGUCCUGGCUAAACUUAUUCAAAAUGUAUUUGAAAUCAAACUACAGAGUUUUGUGAAAGAGCAGUUAGAAGAAUGUAGGAAGUCUGAUGCAGAGCAAUAUCUCAAAAAUCUCUAUGAUCUGUAUACAAGAACCACCAAUCUUUCCAGCAAGCUGAUGGAAUUUAAUUUAGGUACUGAUAAACAGACUUUCUUGUCUAAGCUUAUCAAAUCCAUUUUCAUUUCCUAUUUGGAGAACUAUAUUGAGGUGGAGACUGGAUAUUUGAAAAGCAGAAGU